UUGAAAUAUAUAUUUUGAUUGUUAAACCUCAUUUUAAUAGUUUUUACCAAAAAUUACUUUGUAUUGGGUUAUAUAUCAUCAAAAUAACAAUUAAACGUCCUAUUAGGAUAUGAAUUGGACGUUUUAACCAACUAAAAGAAUUGGUGUGAAUGCCUCCAUAUUCACAUCUGAAAAAGACAACAUUUGAUUGACUCUUUUAAAAUCGGCUAUUAAUGGCAACACUAUUAUUUAAAAGGAACUUAUUGGAAACGAAUGUAUAAACGGAAGCUGACCGAAACUCAUUCUAUUUGUACAUCUUGAUUGGUUCGGACAUGUGUCGGAAUAAUGUAGUGAAAAUGAAAGUUAGAGGCACAUAGAAAUUAAUAAUUUGAAGAAACGUGGUCGCCCUAAGAAGGUGAUAAAUUAUUAAUCGUGAAAAAAUAAUGGCCGGCUUAAAAAGGUGAUUACAUUUUUAAUAGUUAAUAGUGGAAAAAAAUGUGGGCGCUUGGAAAAAAUUCAUGGACCCAAAUCGGCAAACAUUCGUGAAAAUGCACGAAUUGCGGUACGUGAAGAGCGUGUUCGUUACACAAAAAUCUAUAAAAUAAAAGUGCAAAAUGAUUAAAUAAGGACUGUUAUAAUCUAAAUUGAGCAAUCGUUUAUCAGAUAUCCGGGAAGUGAACGCGCUAAAUGUUUGUAAAAAUGCUGAGCCUCCACGUAAAAUGUCUUGCCACGUAUUAAAUAUUUCAAAAAACAAAAGUCCAAAAUGGCGGACUUACGUUAGGUGAAAUGCGCAGUUGCUUGUCAAAUAUUUGGAAACCGAAUGGUCAAAUAGAGAUUAAAGAUAACUCUCAAAUAUUUGAAGACAAAAUUUCUGAUGUUCGUGGAUAUGAAUGACGCUCUUAAGCAUUUGCCGUGUGACAACAAUUCGGAGUUAUGGGAAAAGCCAGAAAUUCAUAUUAAAAAGUCUUGGUGGGCAAUCCAGAUGCAUCUGUAGAAGAAACUGGUUACAGUUUAACUGAAGAUAUCAAUUCAUGGGUUAUCCUCCAUAACCCGGUCCUCCACGGACCGUAAAUGUUGUGAACAAUUUUAAACAUUCAGUAGACAACUAAACUUUUGAUACAUAUUCUUGUGGCGUUGAAUUGUGGAAAACUGAACAGUUUAGUGAUGACUUUUGUGACAAAAUUCGGCAAUAUGUGGAGGAGUGCGAUUAUUUGCAACGGUUUCAAACAUAUUUUGAUUGCUAUAAUGGACUUGGCGGCUUGGCCUCUAAAUAUUUGAAUGACGAAUAUAUCUAAAAAUAUACUCGUACUUUCAGAAAACUCAAAUGUACCUAUGUCUGAUUUCAUACGGGUUCCGCCUAUGUUUAUUCAAAUCAGCACCCAAGAUCGUGUUUAUCGUCAGGCGAAAUGGGUAGCAGCAAGAUUUGCAAUGCCGUCUCAAAUGCAACAAUAGCAAGAAAAGGUUAACCAGCGGAAAGGAUAGUAUAACCAGGAACAACGGAGUGUUCCACUGAGUUGGGGAAUACAGUGGACACAUUGCAUCGUGAAGCUUAGCAAAUGAAAAUUGCAAAAUUACAUCGUCUUAAAAUGUUGGAGUUGAUAGAGUGGAAGAGGAUGAGUAUGUUGAUGCUUUAGAAAGUUUACUGCUGUUCAAGGAUAAUUAUUAUGAUAACUUCGUGUUGUAGCUGUACAUACAAGGUCAGAAGAAAAAUAUUUUACUAGAAAUCUUAUAUUUCUUAAAAGUAUAUAUAUAAUUAUAUAUUAUCUAGUUAUCCAAGCUAAAUUAUUAGUUGUUCACACAAGCAAAACAUUUCGUUUUAAUACAGUCAUUUACUACAUAAUGCCUUAAAUUAUCUGAGCUUAGUAAAUUUUAAAGCCAGGUUAUGGAUGUUAAUGACCCAGAGUUAAUUUAUGAAGCUACUAGUUUUAUUCGUAGAGAAUGGAUUUUCUGCUAUUUUUUAAUUAAUUUCUUUUAAUA